CCAUCUCCAUCGCAGCAGCCCGCGCCUCCUUGAGCGAGAGCGUUAAAGCGCUCAGAGGAUGUUAGGACGGGUUUUAGGUGAUGAAGUACCUGCUGCCAGAGUUUCCCCUGAAACACACAAAGAAGAGUCUUUUACUUGUGAUUCAGUUGUUUCAGGAGUUCUUGACUGGCCAAUGUGCAAGGAUUCAUGUAAGCUGCUUUUCACUUCUUCUUCUGGUCGUUGUGAUUUUGCUGGAGGUUUUGAUACCACUGGACUCUUCUGAAUGGUCUGGACAUCAGUUGGCGAGAGAAAGGCACUGAAGAAAUUUUCAGAUUCAUCGACCACAGUCCUCCGAACUGGCUUUGUGAUUGCUUUAGGAGAGGCUAUUGGUGGACUCUGAGGUUCAGUGUUUGAUUUCAACCCCCAGGUUGAAGUAUCCCAUCCUCCACUGACAGGGGAACUUAUUCCU
ensembl:lncRNA EOGT-DT EOGT divergent transcript